GAUUAACAAUAGAAAAAAACAAAUAUUCGUUUCCAUAAUGAAGUCAUAUUGCUUUGUUAAUAUGAGGUUUCAAAAAUUGGCAACUUCUUUAAACUCCUUUUCGGAGGUGAUUAUUUCUUAUUAAUGCACCAUAAUAUACAAAAUUGGUAAACCCCAAGUGGAUGCCUCCUUAUUAUUUCUUUAAUAACUCUUUACCUUUGGCACACCAACUUUUCAUUUAUCAAUAAUGAAUAAAAUAUAAAAACUUCCCUCGCCCAUGUUGUAAGCUUUAUUGGAGACUGCAACUGAAACAAAAGCAUCCUCCUAUAUUGAUUUUUUUUUAUACUCCUGUAUUUCCACAUAAAUAUGUAUAUACGAGUAUCUGUAUGUGUGUCUGUAUGUUUUGGCGCUUGCCGUGCUGAGCAUUGUUGUUGUUUGUGCUGUCUUAAUUUUUGUUUGACUGAAGCAAUCCUUUCUGCCUCCUGUGUUGCUAUACUUAAAUCAAUCCGUUUAUUCGGAUGGCGUUUUUGGUGGCAGAAUAGUGGUGCGUAACUCAUUUGAUCUUAAUAAAGUUAAAAAAUUAUUUUGAAGUUUGGUUCUGUUUUAAUUACGCUUCGAAAGAUUUAGUUUUUUCAAUAAUCAAGUGUAAGUGUAAUCUUACAAGUGUAAGACAAACAUAUUCGGUUCGACUUUUGGUAUUUAGCCUGUAUUUCUUCGUUUACUUUUAUUUUGGGGCUUUUUGUUUUUUAAGCAUUGUCAGGGCAGCGAAGACAGACAUGAAAACAAAACCCACAUGUGAGCAUUUAAUUUCAACAACUGUCGCUGGAGCUACCAGGCGAAAUUCCAAUACGAAGCAAAGAGGCACUGCAGCCACAUCCACAGCAGCAACAUCUAAGGUAGAAGCGGCACCAACAGCAUCACCAGACUCGAUCUGAGCUCCACAUUCCCCGUCCCAUCUCUUUCUCACUUUUAUACCUCUCCCUUUCUCGAAUUCUCCGAUUGCAGGGAGCAGCGUCGCCGACACCAACGGCCCUCAUGUUGGACACUAAACAGCGGGCGCUGCCAAAUGACAACCGAACUACAUGAAGUACAACAGCAACACCAACAGCAGAGCAGCGACAUCAGAAAGAACAACAACAACAGUGCCCAAGUAACAGUGGGAGCCGCAUUAAUAUGGCCAAGGUAAAGGGUAUUUAAAAGCAGCCACCAAGCCAUGCUGAAAAACCCGAACUCGAACUCCAGCCAGGAGAACCCCGGUGAGGCCAGAAAAAAGACAAGAGGAAUGAGAGUCGAAAAGACAAAUGUGUCUGCACAGUGGUUGUAUACCGAGGACUCGAGCGGCUUAUGAAAAAUAUAACUUUAGCUUAAACAUUCUUUAGGUUAAGCCUCAGUUUGUUUUCAAACCCUUUAACUUUAUAUUAUGAUAACCUAUAUCGUGAGACUGUUAAAGAAAAUAUGGGAAAGAUCGGUAACAUAUUAUUCAACGAAACCACCACCUAUUUUCAAGCAACUUAGUCUAAUUUAGUUCCCAAUUAAAUUUUAAUUAACCCUUUGCAUUAAGGUUCUCAACGCGGAACCACUGUGCCCAAUGGGCGUUGUGUGCUGGCUUGACAGUUCUGUUCAGUUCGCCUGACGUUGGUUGUUCGUUUGGGGGAUACGAGUAUGUUGUUGUGGCUGCCGUUGUUACUGCUACCUCUGCGGUGUGUGUGGGUUUUAUGAACAGGUAGUCUUCGUCUUAUUUGGUUUUUGGCCAACAUUAAGGCCGAAAAGAAAGGAAAGUAAAAGCCUGCACUCGACUGUUCUUCGUUCUUCAGGGUUCUCCUGCUCCUUCCCCAGCUCUCCGAAUUUAAAAAGGAUGAAAAUUAAAACAGUCUUAAAAAACAUGACAGGCAGGCAGUCAGUCGGCCGCACAACCCCGAAAUUAGUUGACAAGGAUGAAAGGAGCAGAAAAGUGGACUGGGACAGAUGAGCCCGAAAAUGAAACCGGCUCAGUGCUGAGUCGUGUUGUUGAUGGAAGAUUUACAUAAUGCAGAUGAUGGUGGUACCGUCGUGUGGGAAUUUUAUUAAUGAAAGAAUUAUGAGACGUUACAUAAUGAGGAGUCCCACACCGACCAACUUGCUGAUGGCAUCGAUAAAGUCCGGUUUUCCUGCGUGUGCGUUUGUUCUCUUUUUCCAUUCGAAGCGGCAUCUAAUAUCGAACGAAUGUCCCCUAACCCACUCGACUCACUCCAAUCGAAUUCAUUAGCCCCAGCUCAUUGUUUGAGUCGACACAACAAAUUAACAAAGUUUUCCGAAGAAAUGCGUAAUUGAGGGUCAGUUAGGAGACCUUUCCGUUGAACUAAUUUGACAACUCUUAGGGCGAAAUUAACGGUCACAUUUGGAUAGGGUUUUGGGGUACUAAAUAUUUUACAUGACAAAGUGGCGCAGAAAAAAAAAACGUAAUGGUAACAUAUGCUGCUUGCUUUAAGCCAAUCUGCGGAUACAAAAUGGAAACUGUUGCCAAUUUCAAAUCGCAAUACGCACCUGUCACAUAAAUCACAGUCCAAAUGUGAUUUAUUACCUAUUCAUAUUAGUUACCUUGGCUCCUGAGGGGCUCCCAGCAACAGCCACACGCUUAUAUAAAAUAAACAAUACAUAUGUAUCUAUGGGAUAUAUUAUGUUCGCUGUCUUGCCAGUUGCAAGACUCCGUCUUGAUUUUUUGUUUUUUUGUUUCUGUAAAAUAUUGAAAUUGAGUGCAAACUACUUGAACUCUUGCCAAAGCCCUGCGUUGCGAACCACCUCGCAGAUACAUUAUUAAAAUGAUAUAAAGUAGCUGAGACAUGAGUGCAAAGUAUUGCAAGUUGCAUGCGAAUUGGCAAUGAACUCCGCCCAAGUGGCUGCCGUGCAAGGUCCUAAGUUAUGGCCAAAACCAUCUCGUUGUGCGGUUAUUUCCAGGAAUUUCUAUCGGAUGCCCCAAAUACUUUGCUGAUCAUGUAAACAUGUAUUCAGCUGAGGCUACGUCAAAAAGUUAUGAAACAUGGAAGUGGUUUGGAAAAAUUUGUUGAUCCAUUGCUUCGCUUAUUAACUACGAUAGAUGUCAUUUCAAACAAUAAAAAAUAAUGUAAAGUACGAUUGUUUCUAGAUUUUCAAAUGUAAGAAUGUACCAAAUCUUAAAUUGUAUUCAUGGUGAUAGAAUAAAAAAAGGCAAGGCUUCGUUAGCCGCAAUUUUAUCUUAAAUUACGCUGGAUAUUACACAUAAAAUUUACGAUACCUGCAAAAAUCCUAAAGCCAUAAGCCACUUAAGUGACUGCGAACUAAGAACCUAAGGUGUACAUAUGUAAAGGUAAAGACGCAAGAUUCUUGAUAUAUAUAAAUUAAAAAACAUGCUCGGCUAUCCAUAUAGAGCUUCUUGUGAAGCAACAAAUUUUAAUUACGAUUUCCGUGCAUUCCACUAAGUCCACUAAGCGCGAUAACAUCUCCUCAUUCCGCAUCCUUUUACAACGACGUUCCAUAAAAACCAGUCUCAAAUGCGUACUUUUUGGCUAUAUUAUGCAGAAGAUACAGAAACACACACUUACAGCAUAAAGCAAGAGAGGAUAGCAACGCUGUUAACUUUUAUUGGUGAGCUUUAAAGCAAAUUUGUCUUGGCCAUUUCACUUGUCUACUGCCUCUUCCUGCUGCAUUAUGGCUAAAAAAGAUUCAUGACACUGCCGUGUAUGCCGUCUAUGCGAACGGCGCAUUCAAAAAUUUUUGAAAACAAUUAGAAUAUUUUAGCUACGACCAGGGGAGACUAUAAAAGUUAUAUGAACAACGCAACGAGUUCUGAGUUAACAACAAAGGCGGGGCAAGCGCGAGGUACCCGGUUGUAAAAAAUUAUGCGCCAAAAUGACUUUGACAGCAGUCGCGACUGGCAAGUAGCGACCAUCCCCCGGUUGGCCUUGUUUUUAUGGUCAUAACUAAGUAUCAGCCAUUGUUGCAUAUGACUUAUAAUUUGGCACACAUUUACGACCUCUUGGGCCGAGGAACCUUAGCCGGAGAAAGACCAAACUCCCGGGGCAACGUCAACAGGCUACAACGAAGCUACUGCUCCGUGAUACAGCAUAAAUGACGCGAGCGUGGGUUGUCAACAAAAUAGGGUAAGUGGUGGUAAAAAAAAAGCCUUUAUAUAAAAUCGGUAUAGAGACAUUUUGGUAAUUCGGAUUAGAUAUGUAUGUGAACCACCCAUUAUCAUCAGCAGCUAGGGCCGCUCAUAUUUUAAAAACCAAUUAUUUACUGCUAAGCAUUGCUAUUAAUAAUGGGUAAUUAAAUUCUGCUAUAUCUCAAUCCCACCUCGCAGCUGUCAUUAGACUCUCUCCGCCAUAUCCCUGGCAGCACCGGCAGAAGGCAAAAUCCACUCCUAUUUUACGGUUUCUUCGUAUCUAUCUGCAUGUCGAUUUAGUAAACGCUAUACGACUUGAAUCGCAGGCCUCACUCACAUCCGAGCACAAGCAAACGGGGCAGGCAACCAAACAACCUUGCAUGCAUGCAUCCAUCCAUCCAUCCAUCCAUCCAUCCAUCCCAACCAUCCAAGCUUUUCCAUCGGCUCGGAAUAAUUUUAUUUUGUUCGCCUGCCACCGCCGCCUGGCCUGUGCUUUCUUUCAUUCGCUGCACAUUUUCCAUUUCAUAAAGCAGCCAGCUCGGCCUGUUUAUGAUUUAAGUUCGCCGGCAGAGGCUGUUUAUUAGAGGCCGACUUCCUUCUCUAUGGAAAGAAAUCCAAAGAGGGUAGAGGACGGGUGGCGAAAUGUCGGCGACGCAUUAAUGAUUGUUAGUGAGUUGUGAAAUUGCUCUAACUGCACUUCAAGCAGCAAAGCAGCAUAGCAGCAAGAGCGGCUUCCACACCAUUUGGCCUGACCAGCAUCGAGAAUCCAGCAUCCGUAUCUGACUCUUUCCGGCAGGUUCUCGGGCUCAGAAGCCAACAAGGCAACGGACCAACCCGUUCGCAUAUUAAAGAGUAAAUUUUUCAAUUUCACAGACAUUAAACGCGGCGGCUGCUGUCUCCGCUUAACUUAAGCUAAACGCUUCGCCUUGGGCCAAUUGCAGCCCCUCAGCUCCCUCCCUUUUUUGCCAGCCUGAAUUUCACCGAAGUCGAGUCUGCACUCAGUUUAGCCAUUAAAUAGUUUGUUAAAAUUUGCCUUAUAAGAUUAUUAAAUUUUCGCAAUUUAGGCAGAAUUCGUUUUGGCAUUUUCAGGUCCCCGAAACGUACACAGAAAACAAUAUUUGAAGUCUUUUGAUUAACGGACGGGUAGAAAAUUUGGGAAUGAUAAAUGACACAGGCGUAAGCGGCUUAAAAAUGCCAAAAUUUUUGGGUUAAGUUUAUUAAAUUACUGAGGGUUUUCCUAAUAAAAGUUAAAAAAGUAGUGUGCAAAUUGGCGACGGGAAAAUAAAUUUAUUUUUGAGGGUUUUUGAACUUGCAAAACUAUUUCCUGUUCAAAAUAAGAUUUAAAUAUGUUAAAAGUUAAAUUACUGUUGUGAAGACUGAAAUUUAAGAUUUUUGCAACUGAACUAUGGGCGGGAAGUAAUGGUUUAACAUUUCUCCAACUGGCCAGUAAAUCAUUUCUAAUCCAUCGCUUCUGGGCUUUGUUUGGGCCCCAACUACCAUCCUUACAAGCCCGGGUUCUACAUGCCACACUCACACUCACACGCACAUGUGGGCCAAAAUGUAUCUGCAGCUUGCAUAACUCUUCUUUCGCCACGUGUAGGAAAGGGUCAGCAAGAAGGGCGCAGCGGGGGAUGAGGUGGAAAUGGGGCUGAAGGAUGAACAGCCAAAUUCGCAUAACCCCCCAGAGUGCAUGCCUGGCAUGUCCCCAUGCCCGUUCUCAGGCCAUCCUUUUCGAAACUUCUCCCUGCGAACCACAUCAUGGUGUUCACUAUUGCUAUCGAUGUGUGUAAGUUGGGUUAUCGACAUGUGAGCACUGGUGAAAGACUCAAGAAGAUACGGUCGAAAUUCCUAAUGUGGAAGUUCCUCCAGAUUACAUUUAAUCUUGGAAACAUUAAGAAAAUUCUUGGGAAUUGACGUAUAAGUACAGAAACAAGAUGUACUGAAGGGACAAUACCAGUAUUAUUGAGAUCAAAUAAAUUCGUAAAAGCUUUGUAUUUAAACUCAAUUGAUAAUUUCGGCACACUUCCACAUAUAAAACUGUAAAAAAACUGAGCUACAAAACGUUGAUUGUUUAAUUUUAUAAUUUCGUGUGAAUUCACGUUUUAAAUCUAUAUAAUCACUCAUCUACUAAAUAAUACAUUUUAAAAUCUAGAUAAAUAGUUAGUACACUAAAGUAACAUUAAAACCAUUUUCAAACAUCCUGUAAUCCCUGAUAGUCUCACAAUUUCUUUGGCGUAUGGUUCGUUGUAGGCGGCUUAAGCUGUAAGCUCUAUAUAAGGCAAUAUAAAUUGUGGGCAAGAGAGUUUCUCUGACAAGCGAUGCGAUGACGACGACGUUGACUACGUCAAUUGGGUCAGAGCGGCUACAGUAAGAACAACAAUCUAGAAAACAACAACCACAACGAUUUCAUUGGAUACAUGGAAGACUAUGGGGGCUCCACUGGAAAACCGGGCGCAAAAGUAGCCACUUUAAGAAGCCCACAAAUCGAAACCACACAUAUACGAAUCAAGAGUGUUAGAUAUGCCGUUUGCUUUUGAUUCUCUGUUGUUGUUCCUCUCAUUUACAGUUGCUUUGCAUACACAUUAAAGUUAAUUUCGAAUCGCUUUUAAA